UCCUACGGGAGGCAGCAGUGGGGAAUAUUGCACAAUGGAGGAAACUCUGAUGCAGCGAUGCCGCGUGAGGGAAGAAGGUUUUCGGAUUGUAAACCUCUGUCUUCAGGGACGAUAAUGACGGUACCUGAGGAGGAAGCUCCGGCUAACUACGUGCCAGCAGCCGCGGUAAUACGUAGGGAGCGAGCGUUGUCCGGAAUUACUGGGUGUAAAGGGAGCGUAGGCGGGAUCUUAAGUCAGGUGUGAAAACUAUGGGCUCAACCCAUAGACUGCACUUGAAACUGAGGUUCUUGAGUGAAGUAGAGGCAGGCGGAAUUCCUAGUGUAGCGGUGAAAUGCGUAGAUAUUAGGAGGAACAUCAGUGGCGAAGGCGGCCUGCUGGGCUUUUACUGACGCUGAGGCUCGAAAGCGUGGGGAGCAAACAGGAUUAGAUACCCUGGUAGUCCACGCUGUAAACGAUGAUUACUAGGUGUGGGGGGACUGACCCCUUCCGUGCCGCAGUUAACACAAUAAGUAAUCCACCU
rnacentral:rRNA from 1 species